GACGAACGCUGGCGGCGUGCUUAACACAUGCAAGUCGAACGGAAAGGCCCUGCUUUUGUGGGGUGCUCGAGUGGCGAACGGGUGAGUAACACGUGAGUAACCUGCCCUUGACUUUGGGAUAACUUCAGGAAACUGGGGCUAAUACCGGAUAGGAGCUCCUGCUGCAUGGUGGGGGUUGGAAAGUUUCGGCGGUUGGGGAUGGACUCGCGGCUUAUCAGCUUGUUGGUGGGGUAGUGGCUUACCAAGGCCUUGACGGGUAGCCGGCCUGAGAGGGUGACCGGCGACAUUGGGACUGCGAUACGGCCCAGACUCCUACGGGAGGCAGCAGUGGGGAAUAUUGCACAAUGAGCGGGAGCCUGAUGCAGCAACGCCGCGUGCGGGAUGACGGCCUUCGGGUUGUAAACCGCUUUCGCCUGUGACGAAGCGUGAGUGACAGUAAUGGGUAAAGAAGCACCGGCUAACUACGUG
rnacentral:rRNA from 1 species